CUGAUUAGAAGCUUGCUUCUAUGACGUUAGCGGCGGACGGGUGAGUAACACGUGGGCAACCUGCCUGUAAGACUGGGAUAACUUCGGGAAACCGAAGCUAAUACCGGAUAGGAUCUUCUCCUUCAUGGGAGAUGAUUGAAAGAUGGUUUCGGCUAUCACUUACAGAUGGGCCCGCGGUGCAUUAGCUAGUUGGUGAGGUAACGGCUCACCAAGGCAACGAUGCAUAGCCGACCUGAGAGGGUGAUCGGCCACACUGGGACUGAGACACGGCCCAGACUCCUACGGGAGGCAGCAGUAGGGAAUCUUCCGCAAUGGACGAAAGUCUGACGGAGCAACGCCGCGUGAGUGAUGAAGGCUUUCGGGUCGUAAAACUCUGUUGUUAGGGAAGAACAAGUACAAGAGUAACUGCUUGUACCUUGACGGUACCUAACCAGAAAGCCACGGCUAACUACGUGCCAGCAGCCGCGGUAAUACGUAGGUGGCAAGCGUUAUCCGGAAUUAUUGGGCGUAAAGCGCGCGCAGGCGGUUUCUUAAGUCUGAUGUGAAAGCCCACGGCUCAACCGUGGAGGGUCAUUGGAAACUGGGGAACUUGAGUGCAGAAGAGAAAAGCGG
rnacentral:rRNA from 1 species